rnacentral:rRNA from 1 species
UACGAAGGGGGGCUAGCGUUGUUCGGAAUUACUGGGCGUAAAGCGCACGUAGGCGGAUAUUUAAGUCAGGGGUGAAAUCCCAGAGCUCAACUCUGGAACUGCCUUUGAUACUGGGUAUCUUGAGUAUGGAAGAAGUAAGUGGAAUUGCGAGUGUAGAGGUGAAAUUCGUAGAUAUUCGCAGGAACACCAGUGGCGAAGGCGGCUUACUGGUCCAUAACUGACGCUGAGGUG